rnacentral:tRNA from 1 species
UACACUAUAUUUUAAUGGAAGAAUGUUGGUCUACUGAACCAACGGCUUGGGUUCGAUUCCCUAAAGUGUAU